rnacentral:lncRNA from 1 species
AGUGGGCGUGCAGGAGAAGCUGUAGGUCAGGAGGUAGAGUUGGCAGUGGGCGUGCAGGAGAAGCUGUAGGUCGGAGAGGUAGAGGUGGCAGUGGGCGUGCAGGAGAAGCUGUAGGUCAGGGGGUAGAGGUGGCAGUGGGCGUGCAGGAGAAGCUGUAGGUCAGAGUGGAUAGGUGGCAGUGGGCGUGCAGGAGAAGCUGUAGGUCAGGAGGUAGAGGUGGCAGUGGGCGUGCAGGAGAAGCUGUAGGUCAGGAGGUAGAGGUGGCAGUGGGCGUGCAGGAGAAGCUGUAGGUCAGGAGGUAGAGUUGGCAGUGGGCGUGCAGGAGAAGCUGUAGGUCGGAGAGGUAGAGGUGGCAGUGGGCGUGCAGGAGAAGCUGUAGGUCAGAGAGGUAGAGGUGGCAGUGGGCGUGCAGGAGAAGGUGUAGGUCGGGAGGUAGAGGUGGCAGUGGGCGUGCAGGAGAAGCUGUAGGUC